rnacentral:rRNA from 1 species
GACGAACGCUGGCGGCGUGCUUAACACAUGCAAGUCGAACGGAAAGGCCCUGCUUUUGUGGGGUGCUCGAGUGGCGAACGGGUGAGUAACACGUGAGUAACCUGCCCUUGACUUUGGGAUAACUUCAGGAAACUGGGGCUAAUACCGGAUAGGAGCUCCUGCUGCAUGGUGGGGGUUGGAAAGUUUCGGCGGUUGGGGAUGGACUCGCGGCUUAUCAGCUUGUUGGUGGGGUAGUGGCUUACCAAGGCUUUGACGGGUAGCCGGCCUGAGAGGGUGACCGGCCACAUUGGGACUGAGAUACGGCCCAGACUCCUACGGGAGGCAGCAGUGGGGAAUAUUGCACAAUGGGCGGAAGCCUGAUGCAGCAACGCCGCGUGCGGGAUGACGGCCUUCGGGGUGUAAACCGCUUUCGCCUGUGACGAAGCGUGAGUGACGGUAAUGGGUAAAGAAGCAACGGCUAACUACGUG